rnacentral:rRNA from 1 species
GAACGUCGUGAGACAGUUCGGUCCCUAUCUGUCGUGGGCGUAGGAUAUUUGAGAGGAGCUGCUUCUAGUACGAGAGGACCGAAGUGGACGAACCAAUGGUGUUUCGGUUGUUCUGCCAAGGGCAUUGCCGAGUAGCUACGUUCGGAAAGGAUAAGCGUUGAAAGCAUCUAAACGCCAAGCCUCCCUCAAGAUAAGAUAUCCCUCGAGAUUCCCUGUAGAUUACAGGGUAUAUAGGUUGGGUGUGUAAGUGCAGUAAUGUAUUUAGCUAACCAAUCCUAAUUAAUCGAUUGACUUAAC